AUCGUCCUGGCCUCGUCGGCGAAGCGGCCCUGCGGGCUGGAGACCUGCACCGGGCGGCCGCCGAAGGCCGCGCGGUUCUGGCCGGCGAGGCGGUG
rnacentral:tRNA from 1 species